UCUGCGGCGCGGCCCGCGAGCGGAAAAUUUCGGGAUUUGUGUGAAUUUCCCUUCCCCCGGGCACAAAGGGUUCGGUGUUUCUGUCGCUUUUCGGGAGGAACUUUCAGGGACCGUGCCUGGACUGCUGAGGGAGAUCAGGCUGUCAGGAGAAACUGGGCACUCUGCAGUCAGCUCUGCUGUCACUUCCAGGAGAUUUUGGGAGUAAGAGCCGAAGUGUGACCAUCCUAUCUUCACCUCCAGCCCAAUCAUUCUCUCUUGGCAUCAAGAACACAUCUCCCGAUGUGCAGAGACAACAGGAGGUGCAGUGCAGGCAUGGGCAGUGAGCUACAGCCCUUGCCUUGGCCUUGGUUGUCAUCCCACAUCUCUGUGCUGUAGGCAAGGACUUCUUUUACUAGAUGAAAUUUCGAUGUUUGAUGUAAACCAUAAUCCUAUUUUUUUUUUCAUUUUAAUUCUUCCAUAGCUGCUGGAAGCCCAACCCUGAAAUCAUUGAAAAAAGAGUCCUGCAGUCACUGAAGUUUUUCAUGAUGUCUCAGCAGUUCAUGCAGGACUGAUGAACAAAACUCAUGUGGGAAUGGAAGCGCAAAGAGAUCGACAAAACACUGUGUGCAAAAUCAAAGUCAGUAUGCAACAUAACUCCAAAUCUAGAAAUAAUUGUCCAAAAUUCAGUAUCGAGAGUGAAUGGGGAUCCCAGGAGGAGUCACAUUGAUGCCUUCAUUGUGCUUUGACAACAUGUUAUGUAGAGGAGAGAUCUCAAAUUCCCACAGAAAAAAGUAUUUUAUAACCCUGUGUCCAGCAGAGCCCUGGGUGCAUUG